AGUGAAGCGGGAUGAGCUCAAAUUUAAAAUCUGGCUGGUUUACUAGUCCGAAUUGUAGUUUAAAGAAGCGUUUUCGGUGGCAGCCUGGGUAUAAAUCCUUUGGAAUAGGGUAUCAUAGAGGGUGAGAAUCCCGUCUUUGACUCAGUGAAUGCUACUAUGUGAUACGUUUUCAAAGAGUCGAGUUGUUUGGGAAUGCAGCUCAAAAUGGGUGGUAAAUUUCAUCUAAAGCUAAAUAUUGGCGAGAGACCGAUAGCGAACAAGUACCGUGAGGGAAAGAUGAAAAGAACUUUGAAAAGAGAGUUAAACAGUACGUGAAAUUGUUGAAAGGGAAACGUUUGACACCAGUCAUGCGGGUGGAAAAUCAGUCUUUUAGAGUAGGGAGUGGUGGGGGUUCGGACCGCAAGGCUGGCCUUUAUUUCAUCUCUGCUCUAAUGGAUGCACUUUUUCAUUUGCAGGUCAACAUCAGUUUCUUCUGCUGGACAAAACUCCGAGAGAAGGUAGCAGCUUAGGCUGUGUUAUAGCUCUGGAGCGAUACAGUGGAGGGGACUGAGGUUUUCGCAGUGUGUGCUUUCGGGCAAGGUUGAUUGGGUGCUAUGUGAUCGUUCGGUGUACAAUGCAUGCAUUUUGCGCUGUGUCUUUUGCAUACUCGCCUGACUCGACUCUUCCACGCUUAGGAUGUUGACUUAAUGGUUUUAAACGACC
rnacentral:rRNA from 1 species